rnacentral:rRNA from 1 species
GACGAACGCUGGCGGCGUGCUUAACACAUGCAAGUCGAACGAAGUGGCGAACGGGUGAGUAACGCGUAAUAAACCGGCACUUCAGAGGGGGACAACAGUUGGAAACGACUGCUAAUACCGCAUACGGAAGGAGGGGAUUGGGUCUGAUUAGCUAGUUGGAGGGGUAACGGCCCACCAAGGCGAUGAUCAGUAGCCGGUCUGAUAGGAUGAACCGCCAUAUUGGGACUGAGACACGGCCCCGACUCCUACGGGAGGCAGCAGUGGGGAAUCUUCCGCAAUGGACGAAAGUCUGACGGAGCAACGCCGCGUGAGUUAUGACGGCCUUCGGGUUGUAAAGCUCUGUUAAUCGGGACGCGGUACCGGAAUAGAAAGCCACGGCUAACUACGUGCCAGCAGCCGCGGUAAUAC